CCCUUAGAUGUUCUGGGCAGCACGCGCGCUACAAUGACUCACUCAGAAAGUUUUUCCUGAUCCGGAAGGAUUCGGGUAAUCUUCAUAGCAUGAGUCGUGUUAGGGAUCGAUCUUUGCAAUUAUAGAUCUUGAACGAGGAAUGCCUAGUAAGUGCAGCUCAUCAGGCUGUACUGAUUACGUCCCUGCCCUUUGUACACACCGCCCGUCGCUCCUACCGAUUGAGUGGUCCGGUGAACCUUCUGGAUUAAGCAGCAAUGCUUGAGAAGUUAGGUAAACCUUAUCACUUAGAGGAAGGAGAAGUCGUAACA
rnacentral:rRNA from 1 species